GGGGGGUUGAGCUGCGGCGGUCCCGGUGCUCCCGCAGUGCCCCUCCCGAGCUGCCAGGCUGGAUUUUAUGGGAAUAUCGAUAGAAUUAAAGUUCCUUGUAAUUCCGUGAUAAAUGGGGUGUCUCUAGUAAGUAAGAUGAAGUGCGGUGCCGUGAAGUUGUUUAUCUGGAAAGUAAUUCUCAGAAACCUGACUUCUGACACUUGGUCAUAUAUUAAACCGGCGUCUUGAACGUUGUACUUCAGAUGCUCCUUUUCCCCCUUCCCCUCGCAGUUUGCUAUUUAUAAGACUUCGUAGGUGCGGGUGAGUUGCUGGGUAAUUUUUCACCAACUGUGAAAAGCAUCGUUUGCAACAGCCGAAGAAUUCUCUGCUUAGGAAAUAGUACGGGGAGAGUGGGCUCACGAAUAGAUAACAUCUCCCGACCGUGCCAUUAUCGGCACAAACCCGUGCGGCUGCGCUGCUCCCGGCAGCCAAAAGGCAGGGAGGGCACGCUGCGAGGCGAGCAGGCUAACGACACCUAGAUGGGAUCGCAGAGGCGAUUCUGCAGACCUAAAGCAUGCUCCGACGGCACGAACAACAUGAGCGUGGUUCUGCGCAGCCCCAAAGACACCCGGACAUCUGCCGGGUUUAUCUUAGAGACUGCAAUUAGUGACAAACCGAGUGCAACUCGGCUUGGCUUUCCUAUUCCUGCACACCAUCGGAACCAGCAAAAGUUCCCAGCUCACAGCAUAACCCCCCCCCCGCCCUCCAGGACGGCCCCAUUCCCCAGACUUGUUUUUCCCAUUGCAAGAUGAAUGUGGCACUGUAUGUCACUUAACGCGCUCGCCUAUGAGAGGCACAAAAAGUGAAGGUUAUUGCUUUUUGGAACGCACACUCGCAGUGUUCCACUUGCACGUUUGAUGGAUGUCUGUGGAAACACAGCUCCGGCCCCAUCAAACUGUUUGGAUUCAGAGUGCUCCUCUUGCAAACCAGUAGAUUUCUGAGUAAACUUGAGACGAAGAGCACAAAUUUGGGUGAGCUAAGGGGGAGCCUCUUCCUUAGCACUGAUGUGGGUGAGUGCAUGCGGAGCUCUGACCUCCAGGGCAGCACUGGAGUUACUGUACAGCAUUGUUCUGGUGUGAUGAUUGCAGAGCUGCCGCCCCAAAACGGCACGGCGUAGCAGAGAGAAAGGAUUAUUAGCAAUUUUUUGGAUCACCUUCAGGAGCAGCAACGCUCUCCUCCCUCCCCUCCGCCAUUCUCACUGUAGUGCUAUUUUCCUUUAUUAUUUGGCUAUUCACGACGGCUGUCUAAACAUUUACAGUCCCCUAUUAACAGCGUUUCUCCCCAAACAAUCGCACGCUUUCAUUUCAAUUAGAGCCAUUCAGGCUCGGGUUUUGCCACCAGGCCACGUCCCAGCCCCGCUCCCUUUCCCAGCACGGACCCAGGCAGCGCACAGCCCACAUCCCCACACCUCCUGCUCACAUCCCCACACCUCCUGCCCUGCUCCAGGUUAGGAGCUCAGACCACGACGCGUUCUGCCCUGGGUGCGGAUCAAGAACAACACAUUAAGAACAGUUACCGCUCCCUUUGUUUGCCCGGUGUCUGAUUUUUAUGGUGCAGAACUAAAGAGUGCCCGCUGAAUUUGACUAUGGAAGCGGGCAAAUUGCUUUCCAAAAGGCUUCUUCGGAGCACAGUGAUAAGGCACAACCCGCUCCUAGGUGCAGCGCCAGAUAAAUCCUUUUAACAGUCCUCAGAUCAGUUAACAGGCAACUCGCAGACGCAAAUAGGAGCCGCGCUCCCUUUGAAGACACGUUCUUUAUAUAUUUUUAUUGGAGGUGUCUUUUUUAUUAAGUGGAGCACCAGCAUAUGUACCACGCAUCCCGAUUUGCUGGUGGUGCUGCGGUGUCGGAGCAGAGGGAACAGAAGCAGCGGCAAACAAACGCCAUCGAUUAAUAUCUGUUUUUGCAUCGGUGUUGCCGAAUCCAUCAUUUCCACUGCUUGCUUAUCGUGUUUCUGAAACACUCAGAAUAUCCCAAAUAAGCCCGUGUGAUCCAGAAGGAACUUCUCUCUCGGGCUGGAGGUUGGUGCCACCAGGUUUGUGCUGCACUCACCCUAUGAUGCAUGUCCCACUUUACUCGUCUCCAUGAAUGGUUCAGCCUGGAUGUGAAAAUCAAUACAGACGUCCCUGAUGCCAAAAACCUAUUUGUCUAAAAGAUAUAAAAAGUGAAAUUGCAAUAAAGAUUUUUAUCGGGC
ensembl:lncRNA